rnacentral:rRNA from 1 species
UACGUAGGGGGGCAAGCGUUGUCCGGAUUUAUUGGGCGUAAAGAGCGUGUAGGCGGCCUGGUAGGUCAGCUGUGAAAACUCGAGGCUCAACCUCGAGACGCCGGUUGAAACCAUCAAGCUAGAGUCCGGAAGAGGAGAGUGGAAUUCCCGGUGUAGCGGUGAAAUGCGCAGAUAUCGGGAAGAACACCCGUGGCUAAGGCGGCUCUCUAGUACGGUACUGACGCUGAGACGCGAAAGCGUGGGGAGCGAACAGG